CGGCGUGGACGACCUCGCCGCGGCCCUGGCGGAUUUCGGGCCGACCCGG
rnacentral:ncRNA from 1 species